rnacentral:rRNA from 1 species
AUGAACGCUGGCGGCGUGCCUAAUACAUGCAAGUCGAGCGAACAGACGAGGAGCUUGCUCCUCUGACGUUAGCGGCGGACGGGUGAGUAACACGUGGAUAACCUACCUAUAAGACUGGGAUAACUUCGGGAAACCGGAGCUAAUACCGGAUAAUAUAUUGAACCGCAUGGUUCAAUAGUGAAAGACGGUUUUGCUGUCACUUAUAGAUGGAUCCGCGCCGCAUUAGCUAGUUGGUAAGGUAACGGCUUACCAAGGCAAUGAUGCGUAGCCGACCUGAGAGGGUGAUCGGCCACACUGGAACUGAGACACGGUCCAGACUCCUACGGGAGGCAGCAGUAGGGAAUCUUCCGCAAUGGGCGAAAGCCUGACGGAGCAACGCCGCGUGAGUGAUGAAGGUCUUCGGAUCGUAAAACUCUGUUAUUAGGGAAGAACAAAUGUGUAAGUAACUAUGCACGUCUUGACGGUACCUAAUCAGAAAGCCACGGCUAACUACGUG